UAAGGAAUAUUGGUCAAUGGAGGCAACUCUGGACCAGCCAUGCCGCGUGAAGGAUUAAGGCCCUCUGGGUUGUAAACUUCUUUUAUAUGGGAAGAAAUGUACUUUUUCUAAAGUGCUUGACGGUACCAUAGGAAUAAGCACCGGCUAACUCCGUGCCAGCAGCCGCGGUAAUACGGAGGGUGCAAGCGUUAUCCGGAUUUACUGGGUUUAAAGGGUGCGUAGGCGGAUGAAUAAGUCAGUGGUGAAAUCUCCGAGCUUAACUCGGAAACUGCCGUUGAUACUAUUUGUCUUGAAUAUUGUGGAGGUAAGCAGAAUAUGUCAUGUAGCGGUGAAAUGCUUAGAUAUGACAUAGAACACCAAUUGCGAAGGCAGCUUGCUACACAAUCAUUGACGCUGAGGCACGAAAGCGUGGGGAUCAAACA
rnacentral:rRNA from 1 species